GACGAACGCUGGCGGCGUGCCUAAUACAUGCAAGUUGAGCGCUGAAGGUUGGUACUUGUACCGACUGGAUGAGCGGCGGACGGGUGAGUAACACGUAGGCAACCUACCCUUGAGAUUGGGAUAACUACCGGAAACGGUAGCUAAUACCGGAUACGACUUUUCCACACAAGUGGAAUUGUUAAAAGGCGGAUUUAUCUGCCGCUCAUGGAUGGGCCUGCGGUGCAUUAGCUCGUUGGUGAGGUAGUGGCUCACCAAGGCGACGAUGCAUAGCCGACCUGAGAGGGUGAUCGGCCACACUGGGACUGAGACACGGCCCAGACUCCUACGGGAGGCAGCAGUAGGGAAUCUUCCGCAAUGGACGCAAGUCUGACGGAGCAACGCCGCGUGAGUGAUGAAGGGUUUCGGCUCGUAAAACUCUGUUGUUAAGGAAGAACACUUGAGGUAGUAACUGGCCUUGAGAUGACGGUACUUAACCAGAAAGCCACGGCUAACUACGUGCCAGCAGCCGCCGUAA
rnacentral:rRNA from 1 species